rnacentral:lncRNA from 1 species
AGAGGCUGCUGUGCCUGGGACUUUCCCAAUCGGGACCCUGAAAACUGUAUCACAGGAAUCCCCAGCUUGGACUUCAGGUGUUGGCUCACUGUCUCCACUGCCCUUCAUGGCAUGCUGGAUCUUCCAGAAGGACCAAGUAAAAUCAAACCCAGGUUGUAAAUGUUGCAUUUGCAGAAGCAUUCCCAAAACUUCAGAACACUCAGUUAUAAAAACAUUAAAAGGUCUUCAGGUUCCAGUCAAGAAAGAUGAAGAAAGAAAUGGUAACAUUCUCCACUUUCACACCUAUCAUUGGCUGCCCAUGAGUCUUGCAAGGUAAGUAGGUCAUCUAAUUAUAGCCAUUUUAGAGUAAGAUUUAAAAAAAAAAAACCU